rnacentral:rRNA from 1 species
UACAGAGGGUGCGAGCGUUAAUCGGAAUUACUGGGCGUAAAGGGCGCGUAGGCGGUUAUAAAAGUUAGUUGUGAAAUCCCUGGGCUUAACCCAGGAACUGCGACUAAGACUGUGUGACUGGAGUGCUGUAGAGGGUAGUGGAAUUUCCGGUGUAGCGGUGAAAUGCGUAGAUAUCGGAAGGAACACCAGUGGCGAAGGCGGCUACCUGGACAGACACUGACGCUGAGGCGCGAGAGCGUGGGGAGCAAACAGG